rnacentral:lncRNA from 1 species
CCUUCUCAUAAUUCUCAAGGGCAGCCAUGUUAUCAUGGGCCUCAGAAAACUCUCCAUCCUCCAUGCCCUUGCCUAUAUACCAGUAAACAAAGGCAUACUUGUCAUACAUCACGUCAAACUUGUGGUCCAGGUGAACCCAGGACUCAGCAAUGGCUGUGGUGUUACUCAGCAUGUACAGUUUGCUGUACUUCGGCCAGUUCUCCACCAGGUACCACAGUGGGAGGCUGGUAAUUAAUACCAACUUUGAAGCCAGUGGAGCACCAAUCCAUAUACUGGAUUAUACAGUUGGUCUUGAUGGUGGCAAUGGCAUCACUGACAUCUUUUGGAAUCAUGUCACCACAGAACAGCAGGCAGCAAGCCAUGUAUUUACCAUGGCAAGGGUCACAUUUCAUCAUCUGGUUGGCUGGCUCAAAUCAUGCAUUAGUGAUCUUUGCUACAGAAAGUUGUUCAUGGUAGGUUUUAUCAGCAGAGGUGACAGGAUCAUGUGUGGCCAGAGGGAAUUGGACAUGGGGAUAGGAUAUCAGGUUGGUCUGGAAUUCUGUCAGAUCAACAUUCAGGGCUCCAUCAAAUUUGAGGGGAAAAGUUAUGGAGAACAUAAUUUGACCUGUUAACCUAUUCAGGUUAGUUUAGGUUGGGUGUUCAAUAUCAAGAUUUGUAUGACAGAUGUAUAGAUUGCCUCAUUAGCACAGAGUGCUCCAGGGUGGUAUGGGUAGUGAGGAUGGAGUUUUAGGGUUCAACUACAGCUGUGGAAACGUGGGGGGCUGGGUAAAUGGAGAACUCCAUCUUGGACUUCUUGCCAUAAUUGACAUAGAGAUGUUCCAUCAGCAGGGAGGUGAA